UCCACCGUCCAGACAAACACACUUCUUCUUCUUCUUCUUUUCUUUUUAUUCUUCCCUCCACCUUCCAUCUACCAUAACUCAAAAUCUAACCAUUUGUUUCUCAAAUUGAAGCUACCUAGGCCUUCCGGACUUCAAGAGGAGCAUUUCUACCGAUUGAAUCUUCGUUUCCUCCAACGGGUGAUUCUCACAUUUUGGGGUUUCAAGCAAGUGGUUUAGGGUUCUUCCUUGAGUUGGCCGUCCACACUAGAGUAGGUGAUGAGGUACCCUUGGAGCAGGC